UGCACUCACUACUGUAAAUCGCUCUGGAUAAGAGCGUCUGCUAAAUUACUAAAA
rfam:Salmo salar isolate Sally breed double haploid chromosome ssa09, whole genome shotgun sequence.